GACGAACGCUGGCGGCGUGCCUAAUACAUGCAAGUAGAACGCACAGUUUAUACCGUAGCUUGCUACACCAUAGACUGUGAGUUGCGAACGGGUGAGUAACGCGUAGGUAACCUGCCUGGUAGCGGGGGAUAACUAUUGGAAACGAUAGCUAAUACCGCAUAAUAUUAAUUAUUGCAUGAUAAUUAAUUGAAAGGUGCAAUUGCACCACUACCAGAUGGACCUGCGUUGUAUUAGCUGGUAGGUGAGGUAACGGCUCACCUAGGCGACGAUACAUAGCCGACCUGAGAGGGUGAUCGGCCACACUGGGACUGAGACACGGCACAGACUCCUACGGGAGGCAGCAGUAGGGAAUCUUCGGCAAUGGACGAAAGUCUGACCGAGCAACGCCGCGUGAGUGAAGAAGGUUUUCGGAUCGUAAAGCUCUGUUGUAAGAGAAGAACGGGUGUGAGAGUGGAAAGUUCACACUGUGACGGUAUCUUACCAGAAAGGGACGGCUAACUACGUG
rnacentral:rRNA from 1 species